UAUAGUAGCUGACUAUCCUGAAGAACAGGAACGUUUUAAAACUGCCAAUCAGAUGGAUGUACUUAGAAUUUGGAUACUUGAUCCUGAGAAAGCUUCUUCUGCAGAGUUGAAUAAUAAAGCCGAAGUGCCUUCCCUGGUGGGCAGCCUGGAUAUUAUCUGCAUCUCCACGAUACAUGAGUUUUCUGUAGCUUUCAAUUGAGUCGUUAACUUGUGGUUCCUCUGUUGUCUCUAUUCCAUCAUCUUCCUGCUCCAUGGAUUUAAACAGGUCUUGGCAAAUUGCCAAGUCUUUAAAUUGAACGAACAAGGACUUCUUCAAUCUACUUUAGUUUUGUGUAAACAACUUUUCCCAGGAACAAUAACAAAUUGGAUUUCCAGACAACAUUCCCUCAACAUCAACUAAGUUAAUAAUGACGUUUGUUCAAAAGGAAUGUGUCUUAUCUUGACUUCAAAACAAUCGAAUACCGGACAUCUGAAUUUCUCCGGGCAAAGUGGAAAAACACUUUAUUGGCUCUCUUCCAAGCCAGCUGAACUAUCUUUCAUUUAAUCUUACAGAUGCCAUUCAAAAUUAAAGCUUUCCAGCUUCAA